AGUUUGAUCCUGGCUCAGAACGAACGCUGGCGGCAUGCCUAACACAUGCAAGUCGAACGAAGGCUUCGGCCUUAGUGGCGCACGGGUGCGUAACGCGUGGGAAUCUGCCCUUGGGUUCGGAAUAACGUCGGGAAACUGACGCUAAUACCGGAUGAUGACGUAAGUCCAAAGAUUUAUCGCCCAGGGAUGAGCCCGCGUAGGAUUAGCUAGUUGGUGAGGUAAAGGCUCACCAAGGCGACGAUCCUUAGCUGGUCUGAGAGGAUGAUCAGCCACACUGGGACUGAGACACGGCCCAGACUCCUACGGGAGGCAGCAGUAGGGAAUAUUGGACAAUGGGCGAAAGCCUGAUCCAGCAAUGCCGCGUGAGUGAUGAAGGCCUUAGGGUUGUAAAGCUCUUUUACCCGGGAUGAUAAUGACAGUACCGGGAGAAUAAGCCCCGGCUAACUCCGUGCCAGCAGCCGCGGUAA
rnacentral:rRNA from 1 species